UGGGGAAUUUUGGACAAUGGGCGAAAGCCUGAUCCAGCAAUGCCGCGUGUGUGAAGAAGGCCUUCGGGUUGUAAAGCACUUUUGUCCGGAAAGAAAUCCUUGGCUCUAAUACAGUCGGGGGAUGACGGUACCGGAAGAAUAAGCACCGGCUAACUACGUGCCAGCAGCCGCGGUAAUACGUAGGGUGCAAGCGUUAAUCGGAAUUACUGGGCGUAAAGCGUGCGCAGGCGGUUUGCUAAGACCGAUGUGAAAUCCCCGGGCUCAACCUGGGAACUGCAUUGGUGACUGGCAGGCUAGAGUAUGGCAGAGGGGGGUAGAAUUCCACGUGUAGCAGUGAAAUGCGUAGAGAUGUGGAGGAAUACCGAUGGCGAAGGCAGCCCCCUGGGCCAAUACUGACGCUCAUGCACGAAAGCGUGGGGAGCAAACAGGAUUAGAUACCCUGGUAGUCCACGCCCUAAACGAUGCAC
rnacentral:rRNA from 1 species